UUUGAUCCUGGCUCAGGAUGAACGCUGGCGGCGUGCGUAAUACAUGCAAGUCGAACGCGCAUCGAGAGGUGCUUGCCCCUUUCUAGGGACUGGUGAACGGGGGAGUAACACGUGGACAACCUGCCUCAAGGAAGGGGAUAACAUUUGGAAACAUACGUUAAUGCCGAAUAAAACUUAGUAUUGCAUGAUAUCAAGUUAAAAGGUGAUUCGGUGUCACCUAGAGAUGGAUCGAGGGUGCAUUAGUUAAGGGGUGGGGUAAAGGCUUACCAAGCCGAUGAGGCACAGUCGAGUUGCCAGAGAAAUGGGCUUCAUGUGGAAUGAGACACGGCCCAAACUCCUACGGGAGGUUGCUGUAGGGAAUGUUCCACAAUGGGCGCAAGCAAGAUGGAGCAACGCCGCGUGUGCCAUGAAGGCAUUCGGGUCCUAAAGCAUCAUUGUAUGGGAAGAAAUGGUCAAAUAGGGAAUGAUUUUAGUUUGACGGUACCAUACCAGAAAGGGACGGAUAACUCCGUGCCAGCAGCCGCGGUAAUA
rnacentral:rRNA from 1 species